UUUGUUUUUGAAAUUUAUUUAAAUUUUUUAGAGUUUUUUUUCAAUUCUUUUACAUUAACAAAGAAUAAAUAUUAACUGCUUCGCUUUAGCUGCGUUCAGCCGCCGCAUUAGUGGUACGUUGGUCGACGUCGGUGAACAUUCAUGUCGACAAUGAGUGUUGUGAAGUGCGAUACGAUAGAGAGAAAUAAGCAAACAGAUUAAAAGAUCGAUUUGAAAUUUUAAUUUUAUUACGAAACUUAGAGUCCCGCUUGCUUUAUCGAACCAUAAGUGAAGUGUCCCUUCUUUUGCAUUAAUCGCAUUCACGUGAAGGAAAGAUCGGGCCAAGAAUUUUUAAAUCAGUUUUUACAGCAAUAAUAUUAUCGAAGAUUAAGAAAGGCAGAAUGAGAGCAAUUAUGUCAAUACCGGUGGUUAUCUACUGCUGACCGUAACACGAAUGUGGAAUAUGCUGGGGAAAAUACAUUUUCAAUUACAUGCGCGUAUAAUCAGGUACCUCUCGCGUAAAUUGAUUACACUCCAAAUGGAGCGAGAAGUGCAAGCACGGCCAAAAAAUGAAGGAAAAUUCUUCAUUCGUUCAUUGUGAACGAUUUCUUUGCGUUUUGAAAGAGCAACCGGUGCGUCUAGUAACGAUUUGAAACGGGGUGAGGGACAAUGUUCCCUUAAAGGGAGACCUUUCAGAGCCCCAAAAGCAAGGAGAUGUCUUCAUUUCGUAUGAAAUCAAUUCGAGAGUUAGAGUUUUGGAUUUGUAUUCGGGAAAAGUGGAAAAAUUCGAAUUUUUAUGCAAACAUCUAUUCUUUAAUGGACGAAAAA